rnacentral:rRNA from 1 species
AGUCUCAGUUCGGAUUGUAGGCUGAAACUCGCCUACAUGAAGCUGGAGUUGCUAGUAAUCGCGAAUCAGCAUGUCGCGGUGAAUACGUUCCCGGGCCUUGUACACACCGCCCGUCACACCAUGAGAGUUGGCAAUACCCAACGUACGUGAUCUAACCCGCAAGGGAGGAAGCGUCCUAAGGUAGGGUCAGUGAUUGGGGUGAAGUCGUAACAAGGUACC